rnacentral:lncRNA from 1 species
CAGACACAGGGCCCAGAUUUCCAGCGCUGUCCAUGCGAGGGGGGUUCUUAUUGUGCAGGAGCUCUCUGCGCUUCCAUUUUGCCACAUUCCCUGACCCAUUCCUGUUCCUCCUCUCCACCAGAGAGCUCCAAGUCACAACAAGGAACUUUCCUGGCACAACAAGAGAUUGAAAAAGCUUCUCUCAAAAUUGCUAUUUCAUCUCCUCUGUGCUUUAUUAUAUCUUUAUUAUAGGAGAGAAACCACUACCUCUGAUAUUUCUCUGCUUGGCAUAAAGGUACUUGUCAUUAUUCCUGGGUCAGGCGUAGUUUGCAAACUCACCAGGACAGAGACCCUCUCAUCAGGCUUUUCCAAAAACUGUGUGACAGUUUUCAUUGUAAGCAAAACUGAAGGACAGAAACUUGAUUCCAUCAUUUCAUGGCUGUCAGCUCUACAGACAGGAAGCAUUAUACUGCACAAUAAUCCUUAUCCUAAGUGUUCUGUAAGAUGGAGGAUCUCAAGCUACAGAGCUUCAAGAAACAUUACACUGCCACUCAAUGGAUGGGACAAAGGCAUUUACUAUUUGGAUUUCACACACUGUCACUCAGUGUACUUAAAGCAGAUGAUUGAGUACACCUCAGCAGAAAUUCCUCAGAAACAUGUUACAUGCAGAACUUUGUACCUCUAUUCAAGACUG